rnacentral:rRNA from 1 species
GACAGAGGCCUCAAGCGUUAGGCGGAAUCACUGGGCUUAAAGCGUGUGUAGGCGGAUCGUUAAGUACCUUGUGAAAUCCCACGGCUCACCCGUGGAACUGCUGGGUAUACUGGCUGUCUUGAGCCACUUAGGGGCUACCGGAACAAAUGGUGGAGCGGUGAAAUGCGUAGAUAUCAUUUGGAACGCCAAUGGUGAAAACAGGUAGCUGGGAGUGUGCUGACGCUGAGACACGAAAGCCAGGGGAGCGAACGGG